rnacentral:misc_RNA from 1 species
GUAUUGUAUUGCGUUAAACGCGACAUGCAUUCCAUGAGACUUUAUUACAGUGUGUGUGUAAAGACAUAGAACCACAGCAAGAGGACAGAGUCCCCCAAGCCACAGAACUACAGAGGGUGCACAGGUGUGAGUGGAUGUGCAAACAGAGUGUGCACAUGCCCCCGUUUGAGGACCAGCAACAACUCGUGUUGACAAUUCAGUAAUGAUCCUUCCGCAGGUUCACCUACGGAAA